GUACGAACGCUGGCGGCGUGCUUAACACAUGCAAGUCGAGCGGUAAGGCCCUUUCGGGGGUACACGAGCGGCGAACGGGUGAGUAACACGUGGGUGACCUGCCCUCAGCUCUGGGAUAAGCCUGGGAAACCGGGUCUAAUACUGGAUAUGACUCCAUGACGCAUGUUGUGGGGUGGAAAGCCUUGUGCGGCUGAGGAUGGGCCCGCGGCCUAUCAGCUUGUUGGUGGGGUGANGGCCUACCAAGGCGACGACGGGUAGCCGGCCUGAGAGGGCGACCGGCCACACUGGGACUGAGACACGGCCCAGACUCCUACGGGAGGCAGCAGUGGGGAAUCUUGCGCAAUGGGCGAAAGCCUGACGCAGCGACGCCGCGUGAGGGAUGACGGCCUGGU
rnacentral:rRNA from 1 species